rnacentral:misc_RNA from 1 species
GAUGAAGAACGUAGCGAAAUGCGAUAAGUAAUGUGAAUUGCAGAAUUCAGUGAAUCAUCGAAUCUUUGAACGCACAUUGCGCCCAUUAGUAUUCUAGUGGGCAUGCCUGUUCGAGCGUCAUUAAGUCCACUUAAGCCCUGCUUAGUGUUGGGAGACUGCUCCAGCGGUGCUACCCUGUAGCUACCCUGCAGCUCCUCAAAGACAGCGGCGGAGUUGUGGUAUCCUCUGAGCUUAGUAACUUGUUCUAGCUUUCGAGUACUCCACUUCCCCUGCCGUAAAACCCUUAAUUUUUAAUGGUUGACCUCGGAUCAGGUAGGAAUACCCGCUGAACUUAAGCAUAUCAAUAAGCGGAGGA